UUACAAUGAUAUUUUUAUGUCCCUCAUUUUGUGUCUUGGGUGGUUGUUUGAGGUUGGUUGCAAGGUGAUAGCAAGAGAUAUGCAUGUAGCUUCCACGUUGUUAUUGUCCAGAAACAAAAAGUGUGAUAUGCCCCCAUCGGGCAUAAUUGUUGCAUUGUUUUUGCUUAUUAUAUUGUAGAGUGGAGUGCGUGUAGCUUCCACAUUGUUGCUGUCCAG
rnacentral:misc_RNA from 1 species